CCUACGGGAGGCAGCAGUGAGGAAUAUUGGUCAAUGGGCGCGAGCCUGAACCAGCCAAGUAGCGUGAAGGAUGACUGCCCUACGGGUUGUACACUUCUUUUAUAAAGGAAUAAAGUGAGGCUUGCGUGCCUUUUUGUAUGUCCUUUAUGAAUACGACUCGGCUCACCCCGGGCCAGCAGCCGCGGUAAUACGGAGGAUCCUAGCGUUUUCCGUUUUUUUUGGGUUUAAAGGGAGCGUAGAUGGGUUGGUAAGUCAGUUGUGAAAGUUUGCGGUUCAACCGUAAAAUUGCAAUUGAUACGGGCAGUCUUGAGUACAGUUGAGGUAGGCGGAAUUCGUGGUGUAGCGGUGAAAUGCGUAGAUAUCACGAAGAACUCCGAUUGCGAAGGCAGCUUACUAAACUGCCACUGACAUUGAUGCUCGAAAGUGUGGGUAUCAAACAGGAUUAGAUACCCCUGUAGUC
rnacentral:rRNA from 1 species